rnacentral:rRNA from 1 species
CGAAACUGCGAAUAGCUCAUUAAUACUGACUCAGAAUCUAUUUGGCGGCGACCAACAGGUCUUAAAUGGAUAGCAGCAGCAACUCUGGUGCUAAUACAUGCGAUUGUUUCUCCAGAUGUGAAUUAUGGAGGAAAAGUUGACCUCAUCAGAGGCACGCCAUUCGACUGAGUGACCUAUCAGCUUGUACUUAGGGUCUUUACCUAGGUAGGCUAUCACGGGUAACGGGCGGUUACCGUCGGACUGCCGGAGAAGGCGCCUGAGAGAUAGCGACUAUAUCCACGGGUAGCAGCAGGCGCGAAACUUUCCCACUCGAGACUUUCGGAGGAGGUAAUGACCAGUUCCAUUGGUGCCUUUUGGUACUGUGGAUAGGGGUACGGUUUUCCACCGUACCGAAACCUAGCAGAGGGCCAGUCUGGUGCCAGCAGCUGCGGUAAUUCCAGCUCUGCGAGUUUGCUCCCAUAUUGUUGCAGUUAAAACGCCCGUAGUCUGAAUUGGCCAGCAAUGGUCGUACGUAUUUUUACGUUCACUGUGAACAAAUCAGGACGCUUAGAGUAUGGCCACAUGAAUGACUCAGCGCAGUAUGAAGUCUUUGUUUUCUUCCGAAAACAAGCUCAAUGAGAGCCAUCGGGGGUAGAUCUAUCUCAUGACGAGUGGUGGAAUACUUUGACUCAUGAGAGAGAAGCUGAGGCGAAGGCGUCUACCUAGAGGGUUUCUGUCGAUCAAGGGCGAGAGUAGGAGUAUCCAACAGGAUUAGAGACCCUGGUAGUUCCUACCUUAAACGAUGCCGACAGGAGUUUGUCAUUUGUUAAUGGCAGAAUCUUUGGAGAAAUCAUAGUUCUUGGGCUCUGGGGGAACUACGACCGCAAGGCUGAAACUUGAAGGAAUUGACGGAAGGGCACACCAGGGGUGGAGCCUGUGGCUUAAUUUGAAUCAACACGGGGAAACUUACCAGGACCAGAUGUUUUUUAUGACUGACAGGCUUCGGGUCUUUCAGGAUAUUGUUUUUGGUGGUGCAUGGCCGUUGGUGGUGCGUGGGUUGACCUGUCUAGCGUUGAUUCAGCUAACGAGCGAGAUUAUCGCCAAUUAUUUACUUUGCCGAAAUCCUUCGGUUAAAGUUCUAAUUGGGGACUCCCUGCGAAUUUAUCAGGGGGGAAGAAGGUAGCAAAAACAAG